rnacentral:rRNA from 1 species
AACGAACGCUGGCGGCAUGCCUAACACAUGCAAGUCGAACGAGACCUUCGGGUCUAGUGGCGCACGGGUGCGUAACGCGUGGGAACCUGCCCUUAGGUUCGGAAUAACUCCCCGAAAGGGGUGCUAAUACCGGAUAAUGUCUUCGGACCAAAGAUUUAUCGCCUUUGGAUGGGCCCGCGUUGGAUUAGCUAGUUGGUAGGGUAAAAGCCUACCAAGGCGACGAUCCAUAGCUGGUCUGAGAGGAUGAUCAGCCACACUGGGACUGAGACACGGCCCAGACUCCUACGGGAGGAAGGAGGGGGGAAAUUGGGAAAAGGGGCGAAAGCCUGACCCAGCAAGGCCGGGGGAGUGAUGAAGGCCUUAGGGUUGUAAAGCUCUUUUACCCGGGAUGAUAAUGACAGUACCGGGAAAAUAAGCCCCGGCUAACCCCGU